rnacentral:sRNA from 1 species
CCAUGCCUAGACCAACCAGUCAGGGAGCAACUCUAGCUCCGCCUAUGGCAUCAGUGGUAGUGGAGCGACAUGACCCCAUCACAAAGCAAACCAUUGGUAAAGCAACUGCUGUGCGAUAUCCAAAGAAGACAGGAAAAGAGGACAAACCACAGCGAGUAUAUAGUUCAGGGGUGGUCCCCAAGUCUCACCCGUUGACAAUGUUCAAACCUUUAGCUGGUCAAAUGCCACCAACCAUGAUGUCAAUAAAAAUUGUUGAUUAGGUCAUAAAGUGCAUUUUUCACAUUAGCAGCUAAAUUUAAUAUACGUAUAGUACUAUACAUUUGUACAAUUUUUACAGUGUUUCAAAAAGAUCUGAAAUGUAUUUUAGUCACUUGAUUUUAGAUCACUUUACAUGCACCACUUCUAUUUUUAAUUGUCUUUUAUUAUAAAGAUUCUCAAUAAAUGAUGCUGCAGUUUUAAAUAUUUUGUUUUGUACAUAGUGAAACAUAUUUUAAAUUAUUGAUCUACAUUCUUACUUUAAGAAUAAUAUAAAUAAAAUGAAAUCAUUAAUGCUA